rnacentral:rRNA from 1 species
GCAACGAGCGCGAACCCUGCAUUCAGUUGCCAUCGGUAAGGCCGGGCACUCUGGAUGGACUGCCGGCGACAAGCCGGAGGAAGUGGGGACGACGUCAAGUCAUCAUGGCCCUUAUGUCCAGGGCGACACACGUGCUACAAUGGCCGGCACAACGGGAAGCGAAGGGGCGACCCUGAGCGGAUCCCACAAAAGCCGGUCUCAGUUCGGAUUGCAGUCUGCAACUCGACUGCAUGAAGUUGGAAUCGCUAGUAAUCGUGGAUCAGCCAAGCCGCGGUGAAUACGUUCCCGGGCCUU